GUCUUCUUGGCUUAGUCGGCAGAAUAUCCGACUAAGGUGCGGUAACACUCGGGUUCGAACCCCGAUGAAGGCA